rnacentral:lncRNA from 1 species
AAAAGGGGCUUUAGCGGCAAUAGAUUAAUUGCCGCUAAUUUAUUCGCAGAAGGCAAAUAUUAGUGGCCAAUGGAUAUUAAUCGGUAAAUAUUAUAGUUUUAGUGGCGAUUCAAGAAUAUAGACAGUAAAGUUUUAUUUUUUACUUUUGGUAUUCCCUCCAUAUUCUAAUUUUCCUCUAAAUUCUCUCCCGCAAAAAUGCUAUACCCUGUCAUACCUAGAAAUUAGAUUAAAGAAAACAAUUCAUAUUGCCACCAUCACUUUGCUCUCUAAAUCAAAUUUUCGGCCACCAUCACUUUGCUUUCUAAAUCUCCAUCGGCAACCAAAUUUCUGGCCACCAUCAAAAUUCUUGGUAAGUAUCUCUAUUUAUCUUUAGGUUUUUAGUUGGGUAGGUCUAUGAGUUGAUGAAAAUUUCUAAUUUCUGGGUGUAGAGUUUUGAUUGCCGAAGAUUAAUUCUUGAAUGAGAAUUUUCUUAGUAUCUUUUCCAAUUUGGUAUUGGUGGUUUGUUUAAUUUUCUAGAUUCAAGAAUCUAAUUUCUCCUUCAUGCUUGAGUUUUGACUGUAUCAAAACUGCCCAAAACGUGAUUUUUCAAACUCUUGAUAUUCCUUGUAAUUGGAGGACCAUCUGAACCAGAGCGUUAUGCUUCUGUAAUUUCAUGAAAUUGAAUGUUAGGUAGUUCUCUGCUAAUAUCUGCAUAGUGCAUCUGUUGGUUCCAAAAGUUGUGGAAUAAGGAGUGGAGCGCGCCUAUUAGGUGCGGGUUCGGCCGAAUCCAGUCACUUUUGCUUAGACGGUGCAUUUGUAUAAGGUAAUUCAUUAAAUAUAUAUGAAUAUUUAACUGUGAACCAAUAACAAAGAGGGACUAUGGGUUCCAUGGCAAAUCCAAAACUCAUAAACUUCAAAUCCUAGCUUUACCUCUAUUAAUGGAACUCAUUUAAUGUCCCACAAUAUUUGGUGAAGUAAAAUUUGCUGCUCUUAGAAAGAACUUAAAGUAAUAGUUUGCCAUUGCUUUUAUGUGGUGUAGUUGGUGAGCUAAAAGUUUGACCUUUGUAGUUGAGAAAUUUCUAUCUUAUUGUUGGGUAAUUUUUUAAAGAUAGCAUUUAGGUGAAUGAUAUGUGAACGCACAAAAGCUUUAAUGAAUUGAAGCAUUAGGAUUUAUAGUAAACAUAUGUACAUUCUCUUGUGUGCACUUAUCAAGUAAUUGGAUAAAGAUAUAAGCAUUUGUAAAAAACGUACCUGUUGAAUGCUAUCAACACUGAUCAACAAAUCGCGUUAAAAAUAAAGUUUUUUAUCCUACUGAUCAGAGAGGAAUUCUCGCCUAAGUUUUGUUAAUCUGUAAGAUAUAAGUUCAUAAAGAUGUUUUGCCCAUAUUGAGAACUUUUUCAGUGAUUAGUGUAAAAGUUAUAAUCACGAGAGUGUUUUUAGCUAAAAUUCUUACCUGGUUGCAAUAUAUGUGUCUUUGCAGCUUGGGUUUUCAAGAAGCUUGUGAAAAUGUUCUGUUUCUUUUUGUGGGGUUGCUUUUUUCUCAUGAUCCGUUAAAAGUGGAUUCUUUUCUGUUUUUUCCCUCUAUUUUGAAUGUGUUUGAUGGAAAUUUUGAGAGGUUGAGGUGAUUAAAAUAUUCAGUUUUUGAGAUUUUUACCAAUGAAUUGUAAAGUAUAUGUUUAGUAUCCUCCUUUUAUAGUUUCUAUUUUGUUUUUGAGACAAUUGUUGAGAAAAUAUGUUGAGUUUCUGAAGACAAUAGGGGCUCUAGAUGAGAAUGAAAAUCUGACAGUACUUGGACAACACUUAUCAAUGCUUCCAGUUGAACCAAAACUGGGAAAAAUGAUAAUAUUAGGUGCAGUAUUCAACUGCCUGGAUCCAAUUAUGAUAGUUGUUGCUGGUUUAAGUGUUAGAGACUCAUUUUUAAUGCCAUUUGACAAAAAUGAUGUAAGUUAAUAUUCUCCGAUUUAUUGAUGAGAACUUACCAUCUUCUUCUUGUUUCUUAGAGUGACUCAAUUAAUGUCUAAACAUAUGAACAUAUUCUGUCCUUUUCUCACAGUAGUACAUUUAUCUCUUUCUUUACUUAAGGAAUAUUUGUGCAUUAUUUUUAUGAGCAACAGAUUUAAUAUGUUUUCUGUGCUUGCUUCUCCAAACAUUGCUUCUAUAAAUACUUCCGUUUAUCUAAUUCAGUUGCAUUUGAGCUGAGCCGAGGGUCUAUCAGAAACAGCCUUUCUAUCUUUAUGAGAUAUGGAUAAGGUCUGCGUACACACUACCCUCCCCAGACCCCAUUUAUGGAAUACACUGGGUUCGUUGUUGUUGUUGUUGUUGUUGAGAAAAUAUGUCUUGCUCGACUUGUUCAAAUAUAAAAAUAAAAAAUUACCCCCUCCGCCUCAAUUUAUGUGAGGUUAUUUACCAAUAUUCGCCUUUACUUUUAGAGUUAUGAAUGUCAUUGGGAACUUGUUAAGAGAUAAAAGUUGGACACUCAAAGAAGGAAGAGGUUGUACUGAAUUGAAGUGGUUGAUGAGGAAUUAACACCAAGAUGCUCUAUGAGAUUAAGUUUAAUUAAUCUAUCCAGAUAAGCUACGAUUAUGUAUGCUUGGCUUAUAAAAGUUUAGUUUUUAUUGUUGGUACUAAUAUAUUAUCUUUUUUUGUUAUCUUUGCGUUUUCUUGAGCCAAAAGUCUAUCGGAAACAGCCUUUCUAUCCCCUCGGGGUAGGGGUAAGAUCUGCGUACAUACUACUCUCCCCGAACCUCACUAGUGGAAUUGCACUGGAUCGUUGUUGUUGAUGUGAGCUCACGGUAGAUUUAAAUUAUAAAACUCUAGCAACAUAAUGAUAUAAAAUUUUCGGUGUUGCAUAUGUUGUUUACUUCUUGAUUUAAAUUGAUCAGAAAAAUGUUUCACUCUUGUAUUAUUAAGUUGUCCUUAGGAUUUUUAUUUCCUAUUAGCUUAAUAAAAAAAUUAUUAUGUUUCAUGUUCAAGUUCUGUUGAAUAGAUUUCAAAACUUUAUUUAAAUUCAAUUAAAAGAGUUUUCUUUUCACAUAUGUAGUUUGAUUUCUUUUCGAUUUGUUGAAAUCAUCCGAGUGAUGCUUAAUAUGGAUUAGGGACAUAUAUCAAGGAAUUUUCCCGUUCUUGAUAGUCCCUGUUUUCUGUUUGAUAUGCGAAGUUUUCAACUAUUUAUUCACUUUAAAGUUUAAACUACACAUUAGCACAUCUGAUGUGCUUUUUAUGUAGCUCUUAGCAUUUUUGUGCCGAGAAACUGGGUUGCAAUUGCUUAAACAUUUAGAUUCAGUUAUUACAAGUUAGAAACCUCUCUGAGAUAUAUUGCUAAGUCUUAUUAUUAGACAUUUCAUAUAUUUAUGUAUAAGGAAUGAUCCUACCUUUAAAUUUAGCAAUGUUUGAACACAAAAAUAUUGUAUUUUACUAAAAUAAUAUGUUUGCUUUAGCUUUACUGUUUGAAGGAAAUGCUUGUAGACAAUAAGUUUGAGCAUAUUUUUUUUGAUAAGGUAAAGAUUUAAGCAUACAAGGAGGAAAUCAGUCAAAUGUCUAAUUUUGUUUACUGUUGCUUUAAAGUUAUCGAGACAUCGCUAUUUUUUAACUCUCAAUCUUUUCUUUUUAUGUAGGUUUCGAGAUUGUUGCUGAAAUUGUUCUUCUCCUUCACUUUUUUAUCUUCAUCAUCAAAGUAUUUUGCUUACCAGGUACCCUAACUCUUGAGCCUAAGCCGAUGUGUAAUGUCUUACUAUGGCAGUUUGUGUGAUAAUUUUUUGUGUCAGCUAUGUUGUGAUUUGUGAUUGGAUGUUGUUAAAUUGGCGGGCAACUGAUUAAAUUGAUUUCUUUGUUUUCCCUAAUGUUAUAUAUUUACUUUCGAUUGUUAAAAGUUAUUUGUAGGAGACUAUACUUAAAGAAAAUUCUGUUAAUUUAAGCAUAAAGUAAUUCUAUUUGAAUUGUGGAUUUAAGUGGAUAUGAACUAUUUGGUUUGUUCGCUUUCGAGAUCAACCUCGAUUAUCUAUUAUCUUGUCUUCUUCUUCCUCGUUUCUUAAUUCACUAAGAAUUUCUCCUCUUUUUACUAAUGUAUUUUUAGCUCUUAUAAUAAUUGCGGAAAAGAAAAGAAUAUUUUGAAUGUCAUGGGCAUUCCUAAAAAUAAGAGAUGGAUGUAUUGUGACAGAGUUAGUAAAGAAUACUUGAAUGGGGUAGAAGAUUUUUUAAACCACGCCUUUUCUGAAAAACAAGAUGGAGAGAAAAUUUUAUGUCCUUGUGUGGAACGUGUCCUUAUCCAUCAAGUAAAUCGGGCUACAACAUAUGAUCAUCUUGUGGUUAAUGGUAUUAUGCCUUCAUAUGAUACUUGACUUUGUCAUGGGGAGUCUCUAAAGGCAUCAAAUAAUAUUCAAGUAAAUAAUCGCAGCCAAUCAACUUUAAAGGGCGAUGAUAUGAGAGGAAUGAUACAUGAUGUCUUUAGAGGCUUUACACAAUUCAUGGAGACUGAUGUUAGUGAAACAGGUCAGAUGGAACCAAACCUACAAGAAAAUACUGCUCAUCCAUCUAGAAAUCAACCUCAUCCCGAGGUGGAUAAGUUUGAACGGCUCAUGAAGGGGGCUAAUGAAGAACUAUAUCCUGGAUGCAAGAAGUUUAGCAAACUGUCCUUUUUGCUGCAUAUCUAUCGUACAAAAUGCAUGUUCAAAUAAAUCUUUUAAUGCUUUGCUUGGACUAUUGAAGGAUAUGUUGCCUGAAGGGGAAACAUUGCCUCCUUCUUUCUGUGAGACCAAAAAGAUAGUUGAAAGCUUGGGCUUAAAAUAUGAAAAGAUACAUUCUUGUCUGAACGAUUGCAUGCUUUUUAGGAAAGUGUUUGCUAGUAAGGAUGUCAAUGAGUGCAAAAUUUGUGGGGCUUCUAGAUGGAAAGAUAAUGUUAAAAAAAUUCCAGCCAAGGUCCUAAGGUAUUUUCCUUUAAAGCAAAGGCUGCAAAGAUUGUUUAUGUCUUCAGAAACAUCUAAAGCAAUGCGAUGGCAUCAUGAAGAGCGCAACAAAGAUGGAGUUCUAAGACAUCCUGCAGAUUCUGAAGCUUGGAAGAGUUUUGAUAGUAAAUAUCCGGAAUUUGCUAGAGAUCCUCGCAAUAUACGCAUAGGAUUAGCUUCUGAUGGGUUUAAUCCAUUUGGUACAAUGCGAACUAUUCAUAGUACAUGGCCAGUUAUUUUAAUGUCAUAUAAUCUUCCACCAUGGAUGUGCAUGAAGCAAGAGUUCUUCAUUCUGUCCUUACUUAUUCCUGGACCGAAAGCGCUUGGCAAUAAUACUGAUGUCUUUUUGCAACUUUUAAUAGAAGAGUUAAAUGAAUUAUGGGAUGUCGGGGUAGAAACUUAUGAUGCCUCUGCUAAUAUGAUAUUUCAAAUGCGAGCAGCUCUCAUGUGGACUAUAAAUGAUUUUCCAGCAUAUGGUACUCUCUCUGGAUGGUGCACUUAUGGUUGGUUUGCAUUCCCUUCUUGCAACAUAAACACUCAAUCUAGAAGGCUCAGACAUGGCAAAAAGUUGUGUUACAUGGAGCAUCGACUCUUCUUGAAGUUGAGACGUAAAUAUCGGAAUGAUGCUAAAUCGUUUGAUGGGACUAAAAAACAAGAUCUGCACCUUGUCCAGUAUAUGGGUCACUGGUGCUGAAUUAAAUUAAAGAUAAAAAGUUUACUUUCGGCUAGUGGAGUGAAGGGGUAAGUGGGGUGAUGAAAAAUACAUGGAAAAAGAGGAGAAUUUUUUUCGAUCUUCCUUAUUGGGAGUCUAACUUAGUGCGCCAUAAUCUUGAUGUGAUGCACAUAGAAAAAAUGUGUGUGAUAACUUAAUUUAUACACUAUUGGGUCUUGGUAAAAAAAUCUAAAAACAACUUAGAAGCUCGACUAGACUUGAAGGAGAUAAAAAUAAGACCAAGCUUAUGGUCUCAAUAUCGAGCUAGUGGGAUCUAAACUUGGUGCUGAGGGUAUGAACCCCUGAGUACACGUGUUAUGUGUUGGCGUUUAGGUGACACACAUGCUAGGUGACGGGCCUGUGGGUGUGCACCGUGUGAAUUGUGACUCGAUUAUUUCUGUGGUACUGUGUAAUUACCUAAUGUUAUUUGUAUCCAUGAAAUCUCUACGUGCUAGAGUAAUUGAGCUGUGAUCCAAGUUAGAAACCAUGUUUAGGCUAUAUGCUUUUUUUGUUGGGACCCACUGGGAUUAUAUGUGUUGCUGAGUUAUUUGCUUAAAUUGUAGUUACAUACGCAGUCAUACUCAUUCAUUGGCAUAUCAUAACCCAGUCUCUGUUGCUAUUUAUUGAUACAUCAUAUCAUCAUUUUAGGCUAAUUUUUAUGAUAUGGUGAGCCCGAGAUAUUAUUAAUGAUUGAGUAAGGCCAAGGCCCUUAUUGUGAGGAUGUUUAUAAAAUCGAGUUGUAUGUCGCAACAGACUUUAUUGAUUCAUGCUAUGAUUGGAUUAUUAUAGCGUUUGGGCUGGAAUUGUCCCCACGGAGUCUACACAUCCAUCGUGAGCGCAGGUACCUACUGAGUGCGAGUGUGAGUGCCGAGAGCGAGUGUUGAGUGACUCUGAGGACUGAGUGAAUUGAUACUAUGAGAGUAUGCAUAUGAUUUUAUCACUAAGUUGCAUUGCAUUCGACAUGCACACUUGACAUACAUGCAUAGAGAUGCAUUUUCCUCAUGUUGUACGGUAUUGCGUCAUUCAUGACUUCACAUACACAUUGACAUGUAGGCAUAGAGAUGUAUUUUCCUCAUGCCAUUUGAAAAUGAAACAUUUACCUCAUGAAAGCUUUGAGAAAAAUCACAAUUUUACAAACUUACUCAUAUUUUUUUGGUGAUUUCGAUAAAAUAUUUGGAUUUUCACUAAUAUACUUGAAAAGCAUGCCUAUUUUUUCGGUAUUGUAAAUGAGCUGACAUUUUAUCUCUGAAUUACUUCUUUUAGCACUUUUAUUAUGUUGUUAUGAAUUAUUGUUGGCUAUUGGUGUUGGACUCUGACUUUGUUCCAAAUCGUCACUACUUUCAACUUAAGGUUAGGUUUGUUACUUAUUGAGCACAUGGGGUCGCUUGUACUCAUACUAAACUUUUGCACAUUGCAUGCAGAUGUUGGAUGUUGAUGUUGCUGUAUACGGCGGGAGCUGGAUUUGAAGAUGUGUCUGCAUUUCGUUCAUGGCUGCCUCUUGAUCUUGGCAGCCUUAGAAAUUUAAUCUAUUCAUGUAUAUUUCAAACAUAUUAUGUACUUUAUUUCAUACCAGUUUUGUAAAAUUUAAAUCUUAGAAGCUCCUGAUUUGUAUGACCAGAUGUGACGACCUGACCGGUCGUCUUAAGAAUUAACACUCCGAUCCUCUAUUAACUGCUUUUUCCGUGUUUAUUUCUACUAUUUUGAAUUGCUGGGAUGUUCGGUUUUGAGUUUCGGAGAGUUUUGGGACACUUAGUCCCUAAAUGAGAGCUUAAGUGUUG